AAACUUGUGCUAAUACCGGAUAAGUCUUUACGGAGAAAGCUUUAUGCACCAUUGGAUGAGCCUGCACUUGAUUAGUUUGUUGGUGGGGUAAUGGCCUACCAAGACUGUGAUCAAUAGCUGAUUUGAGAGGAUGAUCAGCCACAUUGGGACUGAGACACGGCCCAAACUCCUACGGGAGGCAGCAGUGGGGAAUCUUGCACAAUGGAGGAAACUCUGAUGCAGCGAUGCCGCGUGAGUGAAGAAGGCCUUUGGGUUGUAAAGCUCUUUCGUCGGGGAAGAAAAUGACUGUACCCGAAUAAGAAGGUCCGG
rnacentral:rRNA from 1 species